UCUCAGCAGAGAGAGAGGCAAACAAAGGAUUCUACUCGUGGUACAACCAAAUAAGCCACUGGGCUGAGCCGGACAAAUAUGGUCUAGGGAUUGGCCAUUUACCCAGCCAUCUGUCUCCCUUUACUAUGGUGUCCCGGGGCUCGCAGGACAAACACUUGGUGCCAAGGAUCAGGUGGUGUAGGCACAGAGGACAGGCAAAAAGACUCAAGACAGACUGACAGGGUUUUGGUGUUGUUGAGUUUAAAGAUGAGGAAUUUGUGAAGAAAGCAAUUGAGGUCAUGAACAAACACGAUCUGAAUGGCAGACCGCUCAAUAUCAAAGGAUCCUGAUGGUGAGCACGCUUGGCCGGUGCUGCAGCGCUGUUCCCGGGAGGACGGGGUGGAGAAGGCGGUCCAGGAAUGAUGAACCUGCCUCCUGCCAUCGCCAACAAUCCCAACAUCCCACCUGAGAUCAUAAAUGGCCUUCAGGGGGUUGGUGUAAGAUUAGAAUCAGGUACAUGGCAAAUGCCAGCUUCAGAGCUAAACGUUUUCAAAUGUUGCGAACCGUCUCUUUACAUGACAAUGACGAGAUCUUGAACAACCUUGUGUAACCACACUCAGAUGGCAGCCACAGCGGUCAGUCACAAUGUUUCUCUUGGGUUCACUGAGGCAUUGCUUAUACACCACCUCACUCAUAUUUCUCAAGAUAUUUUGUUGAUUUAAAUGCCAUAUGCUCAAUGUAUUAAUUAACAAAACAUGCAUAAUUCCUUGAAUAUUUUCUCUUAUGAAGCCUUCACCAAAAUAAUGACCUUCACCAUUGCUUCACAUACUACAGAGUGAAGUAUUUAGUUCAGAUGCUGUCUGCCCAUGUUGUGUAAAUAGACGCACCUCCCUGACAAGUUGCAGUUCAUCCAUCAAGCCAAUGUUUAUAUAAAUAUCGUAUACAUAUGGUAAGAUCAGAGGGGGCAAAUUAAUGUCUGACUGACUUAUUCAAUGCAACUCAUUCUAUUUCUUUUUUUCCAGUGUUUCCCCACAGUAAUUACUGGGAUCAAUUGAUUCUCAUGACUUGUUUUAUGGCCAGUUUUAGCUAAAUGAGGUUUUGCUUCUGUGAAUGUUUGGUAGUGCACCACAGGAAUUACCGGGAGGGUUACAGCACUAAUGGAUGUCAAGAUUUCUCUAUGAAUUGAUA